AAACUCAGCCACUCUGGGCGUCCCCCAGGGCAGAAAACAGGAAGCCAAGAUUAAAGACAGAUUUCCAGCCAAGUCUCCUACUUCCUGCAGGGCAGGUGCCCCUUGCAGAGUGCACAGGAGCUAGACUAUAAGCUGAGCGCAGAGCAGAGCAGAGGGCCUGGGCUGACUUCCCUAGAGGUGGGAGCCACAGGCACCUGCCUAGGUUGUGGUUGCCUCUCCAGCUUUGUUCCAAGGCCUUCACCUCUUCAUCUCCCUCAGCAAGGCCUUGUGGGGAUAAACCUCACGCACGCCUAAUGAGGAUGGAGACAGGACACAGUAGCUGGAGCUCCUGGAAGGACGAGCGUCUGAUAGCAGCUGCAGAAGCCAGAGCCACCGUUUGCUGGAUCCGCUUGGUAGAGAAAGGCUGUGAGCUGGAGGAGAGGGGUGGCUGCCCAUUCAUCAUAAGGUAGCCAUCGGUGCCGGCAGCCUGCUGGAAAGUGUGGUCCUGGGCCAACAGCUUUUGCAGGUGCAGCUUCUCUCCAAGGGUUUUGUUCACGCUGUCAACUCUGAAGAUGACCCGGAUGCCAUCGUAGCCCAAGACUUGCCGCUCUGCACCUCUGGAUCCACCUUCUCAGUGAGCAGAAGCAACAUGUGCAAGGGUUCAGUGGGAGCAAACAGCAGGAGAGCCAGCCCGGGGCAGGCGCCUGCACAAGGUAUUUGCCUCUAGAGGCGACUGGACGCUAAUUUGGAAUUUAAUUCCCCUGAAUAUACUCUCUCUGAAAGGAUAUGUGAGUGUGUGAUGUGGGAUUCCCCUCGGUAUGCUAUGAAUAUGUUUUUAUUACCAUUGGUUAUUAAGAAAGCUGUGUCGGCCAAUGGCUUAGUAGAGUAAAGCCAGGCAGGAAAGCCAAACAGAGAUAUAGAGAGAAAGUGGGCGGAGUCAGGGAGCCUCCUUGUCGCUGCCAAAGGGGGAAGAUGCCAGCUGCCAGCCAGAACCUUACCAGUAGGCCACAGCUUCGUGGUGAUUUACAGAUUAAUAGAAAUGGGUUA